CGCGGCCGUGAGAGGAGCAGCCCGGGCUCCUGUGACAGACUCUGAUUCAGCAUGCAGAGGUGGAACAGCUGCUGUCUGUGAGCCCGACACCAUGUAAUCCUGCAGACAUGUUAACUGCAGGCCUCGUGGUCGGACUGCUCGGUGGUAAGAUAUGUUUGGGCUUUACUCCUGGUGGAGGAUGUGCUGCUACAUGAUAAGAUAAGAUAAGAUAACCUUUAUUAGUCCCACACGUGGGAAAUUUGUUUUGUCACAGCAGGAAGUGGACAGUGCAAAAGUUAUGACGCAAAAAUUAGAAUACAAUAAGAAUAAAUACAGUACACAACUGUACAGAAUAGAAUAAAAUAAAAUACUAUAUACAGUAGAAUAAAAUAGAAUAAAAAUAUACAAUAAGAUAAAAAUAGAAUACAAAUACAAAUACUAUAUACAACUGAGUAAAAAUACAACGAUGCCAGAAAGGAUUAUUGCACUUAGUAUUAUUGCACAUGUAUGGAUGUGUGUGCUUGAUCAGUUAAAGUCUUUAUUAUGGAGUCUGACAGCAGUGGGGAGGAAAGACCUGCGAAAUCUCUCCGUCCCACACCGUGGGUGCCGCAGUCUCCCACUGAAGGAGCUGCUCAGUGCUGUCACAGUCUGCUGCAUGGGGUGGGAGAUGUUGUCCAUCAGGGAUGACAGCUUAGCCGCCGUUCUCCUGUCACUCACCACCUCCACUGGGUCCAGAGGGCAUCCUAGAACAGAGCUGGCCCUUCGGAUCUCCCCAGAAAUAUGCAUGUUUGGGCUCGAUUUGUAAUUUGUACUUUUAUAUUUAUUUAAGGACUAACAAACCUAAAGUUAUUAAAGACCAUCUGCUCCAUUUGUCUUUCUUUCAUGAGCCAUAUUUAAAUCAUACAGCUAUUACAGCUCUAUGAUUUACCAUGUCCUGGCUAUAAGUGUGCUGCAUCCAUACUAAAUCCAAGUAAAUGCAUUCCAGCUGUAUCGGCUUCAGUGAAAGCUAAAUGGAGUUUACAGCACACAGCUGAGGCUCUGUCUGCAUGUUAAGUGCUGAUGUAUCGACUGAGCAUCCUGUCC
ensembl:lncRNA